ensembl:piRNA 21ur-6335 ncRNA
UAGCUCUUGGUUUUUAGGAAA